ensembl:lncRNA
CGGGCUGGGAAAGCUGUGCUGCAGGUCCCCUGCGCAUGUCAUCUUCAAGACACGGCCAUAUGUGUACCUGCCUUACAGCCGAUGCCCUCCUGUACACAUCGGGUUACCUCUGAUUUCCUAUUUCUGCAAACGCACCCAACAAGAAACGUGUAGGAUUUCACCCCCGUUCUCUCAGAACAGAGACAAUGUGUCCUGAGGUAUAUAAAAGAUCCCAGAGACGAGCAACAUGCCUCCACUUUCCUUCCAUUUCCAAACCCCGGCUCCGCCAGGCAGAGACGACCACGUUAGAAAAACACACAAGAUCGAACCCGACAUCAACGGCGGCACAACAAACCCUGAAAACAUCGGCGCAGCCCCGUCCUGACCCACACCAUCACCCGCACACCGCCGCUCUCGCAAAGCAACCCUUCCUUCUCCAAAACCGAUUUCCUCCCCUCCUUAUUUCUGCUGCACAAGGAAAGAAGCUCCCGGCCUUUGUCUGCCUGUGGGAUGGGACCCAGGUAACACAGCCCCCAAGCUGCUGAGCCCCCCGCGGGCGGUCAGGAAGGGAAAGCUCCUUCAAACCAGGCCCAGCUCUGCUUCAGAGCUCAGAGAAAUGCUCUGCAGCCUCUAGGCCUCUGCUUUGUGCCCCAGAAAUCUCGCUGCGUAGGAAAGAGACAGGCAGAGUCCAUUCCCUGCUACCAUUUCAGGCAUUCCUCCACAUUUCUCUUUUACUUAGAAAGCAAUUCAUUUUCUUAGAAAGUAAUGACACUUACAAGAGUUUUGGGAAUCAGAUUUUUCUAUCAAGUCUCCUCUCUCCCUCUUUCUCUCUCUCUUUUUCUCCUUUUGGUCUUCUCG